GAUGAACGCUGGCGGCGUGCCUAAUACAUGCAAGUCGAGCGAAUGGACUGAGAGCUUGCUCUUAUGAAGUUAGCGGCGGACGGGUGAGUAACACGUGGGUAACCUGCCCAUAAGACUGGGAUAACUCCGGGAAACCGGGGCUAAUACCGGAUAACAUUUUGAACCGCAUGGUUCGAAAUUGAAAGGCGGCUUCGGCUGUCACUUAUGGAUGGACCCGCGUCGCAUUAGCUAGUUGGUGAGGUAACGGCUCACCAAGGCAACGAUGCGUAGCCGACCGGAGAGGGUGAUCGGCCACACUGGGACUGAGACACGGCACGGACUCCUACGGGAGGCAGCAGUAGGGAAUCUUCCGCAAUGGACGAAAGUCUGACGGAGCAACGCCGCGUGAGUGAUGAAGGCUUUCGGGUCGUAAAACUCUGUUGUUAGGGAAGAACAAGUGCUAGUUGAAUAAGCUGGCACCUUGACGGUGCCUAACCAGAAAGCCACGGCUAACUACGUGCCAGCCGCCGCAGUAA
rnacentral:rRNA from 1 species